GACGAACGCUGGCGGUGUGCUUCACACAUGCAAGUCGAACGGAGUAGCAAUACUCAGUGGCGGACGGGUGAGUAACACGUGGGAAUCUACCAUUAGAUGGGGAAUAACAGGCCGAAGGACUGCUAAUGCCGCACAUGUAUGUGCCUCGACAGGGCGUAUAUGAAAGGAGUAAUCCGUCUGAUGAUGAGCCCGCGUCCGAUUAGCUAGUUGGC
rnacentral:rRNA from 1 species